rnacentral:rRNA from 1 species
GACGGAGGAUGCAAGCGUUAUCCGGAAUGAUUGGGUGUAAAGCGUCCGCAGGUGGCACCUCAAGUCUGCUGUCAAAGACCGGGGCUUAACCCCAGAAAGGCAGUGGAAACUGAAGUGCUAGAGUGCAGUAGGGGUAGAGGGAAUUCCCGGUGUAGCGGUGAAAUGCGUAGAGAUCGGGAAGAACAUCGGUGGCGAAAGCGGUUCUGCUGGGCAUUACCUGACGCUGAGGAGCGAAAGCCGUGGGGAGCAAAC